UUGAAGUGAAUACGAGUAAAAUAUUUCAACCGGAUCUUUUAGCCCGAGUCAGACCUUUUGUCACCGCCAUGUUCAGCCUGUUAAUUUGAAAAAAACUUUUUUCUUAUUAACGGGUGAAAGCCAUUUAUAGAUCGCUAUGUCCGUCCGACCGUCUGUCCGUCUAUCCGUCCGUCCGUCCGUCUGUCCGUCUAUCCGUGUCCGUCCGUCUGUCCGUCCUUCCGUCUGUCCGUCCUUCCGUCUGUCCGUCCUUCCGUCUGUCCGUCCUUCCGUCUGUCCGUCCUUCCGUCUGUCCGUCCUUCCGUCUGUCCGUCCUUCCGUCUGUCCGUUUGUCCAAUAACUUUUGAACGAAAAGACAUAGAGAUUUGAAAUUUAGAAGGUAAACUCCUAAUGUUAAAGGAUAGUACGAGUUCGAAGACGGGCACUGUAGGUCACACCAUUCAAGGUCAAAAUGUCAUGAAAUAUCACUCAAAGAAAUUGCAUACAUAUGUCAAUUUGAACUGAAGUUUAACUUUGAAUGCAGUGCUGACCUCCAUCUCGACUUCAAAGGUCACGAAAGGUCGCUUAGAGGUCACUGAAAGAUCACCAACCGUAUAAUAUGAUACGUGUAUCAAUAUAAACUGAAAUUUAACCCCGAAUUCAAUGGUGACCUCCAUUUUGACCUAAAAUGCAACGAAAGGUCACUUGAAUGUUACAAAAAGGUAAUCAAUCGUUAAAUUUGAGAUAUUUGUUAAUAUUGUUUAAAACACAUCACACAUGUCAUUUUUUACUAAUUUUGAAACGACAAACACAAUAUGAUGUUCGGUUUGAUGGAUAACACACGUCGUUACAAUUUUUCAUGCAGAUAUGCAUUUACCAAAUACUGAUAAUUUCCAAACAUCAUCAAGACAGUCUAAGCUUCAGUACUACGCAUCCCAACUCACAAUGGAGGUUUCCAACGUAUUGUAAUGCGAUAAGUAUUAUGUUAUAAUGGGAAGAGGAGAUGAUGUAAAACUUGAUAUAAUCCCUCUCACAUGUACAUACGUCCUUUUCGCGACCUAUUUCUAACCUCCUGGGGGAGGUCACCCUAUCUUUUCGGUUAGGAACAGUUAAAUGACUGAAGGCAACACAAAGGGGGUUCUCUUAAAUAAUAAAUAUUUAUUUAAAGCUGGAAUAUGAAUUAUUUUACACGCUAUAAAAUAUUAAUGAAGAAGAACCCAAAAAUAAAGAUGUUGCUCAUAAGGAGGUAUUAGACUGAAUCACUUUCCAAAGAGAGAAAAAGAAGGAGGAAAAGAAGAAGUGAGACGAAGGCAAGGUUGCCUCGUUAUCCUCACCAGUGGGAGAAAAAUCUUCCGGUUAAUGCCAGAUGGCAGGAAGGAUAGAUUUCUCCCCUGGUGGGUCGGAUUGAGACCCGUAUCACUGGUGUGGUACGGGUUACAGUAUGCUCACAGAUUUGGAUCAAGCUAGCGUCAAUCGAUCACAAAUAUAAUUAGUAUAAAAUUUGUAAAUGGAACUAAAUAUCUGCGAAUGCACAGGUUGCGCGGACAUAUUUGCAUCCAUAGCGGGAAAAAUUGGCAGCAAAUUUAGAAAAUUAAAAAUUUGCCAGCCUUACGGGUGCGUUUUCUCCGUUUUUUUUACAAAUAUCUCCGCUAAACUUGAACAUUGGCAGAUAUUGCCAUUUGCAAAUUCUAUACUAAUCAUAUUCGUGAUUGAUUGACGCUAGUUUGGCCCAAAUCUGUGAGCAUCCUUUGGGAGACCUCCAUGGUUAGUAGCCUCACAAUGUGCAAAGGCUUCUUACCAAAUUCAAUAUUAGCAUUUGAAAUAAGUAUUAGUGACAAUUUCAAAAUUUCAAGAGAAUUAGUGACGGGUAUGGUGACUUAUAAUAAUCUGAAUCGGGCUAUCGGAGAUUAUACUGUAGGCUGUUGCUGUUGCUCAUUAAACAUCAGAAUGGGCAAAUUUACCUUAUUAUCUGUACUGACGCUACACAUCCUUACUGCCGAGAUAUUCGCAGAUGAAGGUUACCCCGGGUUCCCCUCCCCGUUCCCGACAGGAGCCAACAAGAGUUAUUACCUGCAUGCGGGAAACGAAGGAGGGAAAGUUUUCCUUCAUUUCGAUCUCUUAGACUUACAAGGAUAUAGUUCUUCAGUUCGUUCUCGCUUGACGACUCCCAUCUCUCUUUUUAAUGCGUGUCAUGGUAUGAGCACAAUAUCUACAAGACGGGGUAUGCUACCCCGGGUUUUUGGGGUAUUGCGAGUUUUGGUGGGUUUUGGUGUAGCAAAUUUAAGCAAUAUGUAGUCGGGGUUUUCAAUCAAAUUUUGCAAAAUAUGAUUACAAAAUAUGAAGACAAGGAUGGAUGUGAAAUCCAUUCUAAAAACUACCCUUCAAAUUAUUCCAACUGGGCCCUUGAACAAUGGAUAAUUGAAGUUCCGUUGACAAAUUUGGUCUUACUUGACUUUAAAGAUUUCGACACUGCGCCGUCAGACGUUGUAUCGAUUAGGAAUGGAAAUUCUGCGGACAGUCCACUUGAACAGAGUUAUUCUGGAAACGAAAUUCCUCCUCGAUACUUGUCCAAAAGUAACAAACUGUUUGUAAGCUUUAUCACAUUCGGAAAUGGAGGAGGAAAAGGAUUUUUUGCAAAAUUCGUUGCAUAUGUCCCAAAUCCAGUGUAAAUUUGAUCGGUUAAUGGUUCCUCUUGGAUUCUGGAAAUUAAUUGUAAAACGUUGAACGACAGAUAUGUAUCAAGUUGAAUAAUUUUGUGGAAUUAAUUUCAAUAAAUUACACUGCACGAAUAAAUGAAUAAAUAUUUGUUUAUGAA